AAGAGAAACUCCUCAAAAUCAAAUUAAUUAGAUAUUAGCCCUAAAUUUUCUUUCUUCCCUCGUCUCCGCUUCUCACCACUUUUAUCACUUCCUCUCUCCGAAUGCGAGAGCAUAAUAAUGGAGAAAUCGGGUAUCAAAGUUAUCAAUUACCUCCUUAAAUCCAAGCUCUCUUGGCUUGGUGUCUAAUCUUGGCCCAAGUAAAUGCCUUCUCUCUCUCAUUUUUUUUUAUUGAAAUUGAAGCAACGUAAGCCUCUGAUUCUUUUCCUUUUAUCAUUAAUCAAGGUCCUAAAUUUUCUUGAAUUGAUGAAUUACACUUUUUUUUCAUUUUUUUUCCCUUUUUUUUUUUGGGGAGGAGGGGUUUGGAAAAAGGUUUAGGGUUCUUAUUUUGUUCAGGUUUGGGUUUAACUUGAAUUGACAUGUUUCGUUUUAUUGGUUUCGUAUUCUAUGACAAGACAUUCAAGUGACAUUGCGAGAGGAAAUCAAAAGUGCUUGUGAGUCUCUUCCAUUUGAGAAGUGUGAUUAUGUUCCAAGAAUAUUAGUGAGUAUCGUUUUAUUGAAUAUUUUGUCGAGAGUUUUCAUGGAAGAUUGAUGAUCUGAAAAAGUUGUAAGAAAUUAUGAUUCGGGAUUACUUAUUACUGUUUUUGUAUAACAAGCUAGCUUUUCUUUCUUUGAUUUCCUCCCUGCUUAAGCAUAGAUUCAUCUGAUACUAUUAACUUUAGAGCAACACGCAGUUUAAUUUCUCUACCUCCAUUGCCCUUACUCUAAUAUUCCCAUGGCAGUAGGGUGUUUAGAAAUUUUGAAGAAAUGUUUAUACUUAUAGUAUUCCUAACAUUUAGAAGGAAAAGGAUUUCUGAAAUCUUUUACGAGUUAAAGCUCAAUAUUUUAAGCUGUAAUACAUUGUUUGUUGGGGAUAAUUACACUGAUAUUGUGCAUAUUAUAUUCAUAAAACGUACCUUAUACAUUCACGAAUUCGAAUCAAAGUUCAACUUAAUGAACCUAGAUUUGAGAAGAUAAAUAAUAAUUACCAAAUCUGAUUCUGAACACAUGAAUAUGGAUUCAUCCAUUUCUAUUCUUGAAUUUCAACCUUACAUGAAAUCAAAGAAUAUUAGUUAAUUUCUGAAAUCAAAUAUGAUGAAAGAAAUUAGAAAUAAGGAAAAAUAUAUGCAAGUGAUGCAAUUGGCCGAGGCAAAUGUUUGACACUCUUUCCUCUAGAUGACUUUGCCUCGCAUUAGUACUAACGAUUUUCUGACUAUCAUCUUCCAAGAUACAAUGAUCACGUCAAGUCAUAGUAGCACUUCAAAUGACUUUGACCAACGAAUUCGAACGAAAUUCCCUCUAUAUCAUAACCAUGAUUUGGAUGCAAUAAAUGUAGACUUCUACAAAGUAUUUGAUGCAACCUGACAUAAAAUGAAUGAUAUGGAAUUUCAAAUGAACGCCCAAAGGAUCCUAUAUAUAGAAGUUGAAAGGAUGUGGAUGAAGGGACACACCCCAAAUUCAGCAUUUUUUAUGAAAAGUUGUAACACUUUAUAUCAAACCUGCGUUUUUUUGAAAAGCUGGAACACUUCAUUCUUUCAAUUUUGGGCCGCAGUUUUUCAUUCAUCCAGAAUUGGUUUCAAGAUUCCAAAUAUACCACAACAAUCUACUCGAUGAGUAGAAUAAGUUGGUCUAUUUAUUUUUGUAAUUUGAAAAUUGGAUCAAAUCCGAAUAUUUGGCCGAAGUUGACACAAAGUCACACAUUUUUAUUUUUCCAAUUUUACACUUAACCAAUUUUCGGUUAUUUUUGAACCAAUUCCAACAUAGUUUGAGUACAAUAGAUGACAACGUCUAUGGAGUUGCUCAGAUUGAACUAAACCUUACCAUGGAUGCCAUGCCAAGUUUCCUCUUUACUUACGGUGGUAACUAUAUUUUCCUGAUAUUGGCUAAUGCAUUUAAAUUGAAUAUCUAUCCAAUUGUUAUUGUAUUGGAUUUCAUGGAUUUUAAUUCAGCUUUCAGUGUUGUGGAACUCCAAAGGUAACCAGCCAGAAUCUCAUAACCUGGAAGCUAAAAUCUCAGAUUUGCAGAAAAAUUACAUAUGUUAGACAUUAUUAAUAUAGUUAAUGACAAUUAAUAGUUGUGAUUUCAGAGUAUGGCAAUCUGAACUUGAUAGCGUUUCAGUGUGAGAUCAGUUAUAUGCUAGUCUAUGUUGGGGUAGAUUUUUGGGUUCACUCAAUAGAUGUAGCUGGUCAGUUGCAGUACUUUUAUGAUCUCCUAUGUAAACAAGAUAAUAUCUGUGUCACUUAUAAGCAAGUAUUCUUAUCUUCCUGAAACAAAUGUAAUUUAUGUCUUUUUGCUUCUAUUUUGUUAAUAUUUACCUGUUUCUUCUAUCUGCAGAACGAGUUUUUCGUGCAGUUUGAUGACUUAUUUAAGCUUUUCAUGUUGAUUUUCUGAUCUAUGCCCUGCUGUAUAUAAAGUGUGCUUCGCAAAUGAUUACUAGUAAUUUGUCUUGGCUUGUGCUGAGAACGACUUUCUAUGAUUUGAUAAAAACCAUGAUAAGACCUACUUUAGCUUCAGGAUGGCAAGGCAUUUGAGUGGGCACUGACUGAAUUAAAGCUGACUUCAGUUCUGUUAUUGAAAUCCAAUCAGGCAGAAGAAGAAAUUUGCUACCUGUUAUGGAAAUAUUUGCAGUAAUAUGGGAAUACAGUAUAUACAUUAUUUUCUUCAGAUGCGAGUGAAUUUCUUAUGAAAAUUGAACGUUGGAAGCUGUUACAUCUAGUGAUAAACACUUUAGUUUAGGAUACUUUAGUUAGUUACUACAUUUUAAAGUUUUUGUACUUAUUUUUCUGGAAUUCUCAAGUAGAGUCAAUGCAUCUUUUAUGUGUGGGCUCUUAGUGAAGGCAGUGAAGAGAUUGCACUUAUCUCUAACUUGGAAUUAUGAUGUUAAAACUUCAAUGAAGGCUAUUGAUUUUCGGUCAUUGGAUGGUAUUGUCUAUGUUGACUGAUGGGGGGUAGAAUAUAAAUUGCAAGAAACAAAGGGAUAGUUACAGCGACGUCCCGAACCUAUAAAAUAGUUGCAGCUUUUACCAGUGUAUAAAUACUGUCAGUGCUCAAUGAAGAUAAUUAUUUUUCCCAACAUCGUAAGAGGUGAUCCUGUGUUUGUGCUUUUACCGAAAGGAAGGUAUCCCAUGGUCCAAUCAAAAAACAAAAAGUAAUGGUGCCGGCAUCAUAUACUGGGCUUAUUCGAAUAAGUUGUAAUGGGAGUGGGAAUUCGUUUGCACGAAACUAGGAUGAGCAAUUCUGAUUUCAGUCAAGAUGGUGGGUCUGUCGAGAGGGACAUUGAGCAGGCUAAAAGAUUGGCAUCUCAACACCAGAGGAAGGUUGCGAAAUGCAAUACUGACACAGAAACGUGUAAGGUGGCCAUAAUUACAAUGUAAACAAACGUAGGAGUUGUAAAUGAAGUUAGGAGUUUUGUGAAAGUUGACUUUCUAUUGAUUUAAUACUCUUUUUAUGGUUUGA